rnacentral:tRNA from 1 species
GCUGAAUUCGCUUAGUCGGUUAAAGCACGGGUCUCAUAAUCCCGGGCCCCCGGUUCGAUUCCGGGAUUCGGCA